GGCACGGUGGUGCAGUGGGUAGCACCGUUGCCUCGCAGCAAGAAGGUCCUGGGUUCGAAUCUAGCCUGGGGCC
rnacentral:tRNA from 1 species